GAUAGGAAAAAAGACAAGGGAUAUGCUACAGCUAUGGGACCCCAUCUUAGGCAAGCAGCAUUAGAAGGGGAGCUCUUAGCCUGUCCAGUAAUGCAAGAUCAACAAGGCAAUCAGAAUGCAAAGCCCGAAUAAGAGCAAUGACCACCUCGCCUAACAGACCUGUUGCUGCACACAACGGUGCAUGACUGCUCUCUCUGGGGGAGGGCGACCAGAUUAAUUACCCACAAGUGUGUUGACUCAAAGCGUUUGUCAUUAAAUCUGUGCUGAAUAAAUGCCCGCAGGGCCAGCUAGUCAGGGCGCAUGGCUGCCACAAAUCUUUCUGUGCACGGCCGGGCUUCCUAGCUGCUCUUUCACUGAAUAUCAGUGUCUGAGUGUGUUAUUCAUCCAUCAUGCAGCCUGGGUCUGUGGGUCAGACCCCCGCAUUUCUGUGUCCACUGCUAACAUCUAACUUCAAGAAAUGAUGGAAGGUCACACUUUGGAGCUUCUCUAUGUGCUUGUAUGA